UUAUAAAAAAAAUAGAGAUCGAAAAAAAAAUCCAGACGGUUUUCACCCUAAUUUCUCCACUCUUCAGAUCUCCCACCGGGUGCUUAUCAUCUCAAUUCAAUUCAACAUAGUUUGAAUUAUUGAAAGUUUUGAUAUUUCCUUUUGUGUAAAAUGAUUGAAGAUAGCAGCAAAUCAGUUUCCGAAGAAACCCCCGUCUCGCUUUGUGUGAUUUAACCAAUCUUCCAAAGAAGAGAGAUGAUCUGUUUUGAACAUGGUGACAGAUACGUGGAUCAGCAAACUAAUGGUACUAUUAUAAUAAGCAGUGAUACCGAGAUAAGGGAGCUGCUUGUAUCUGGUCGGAUCUUCAUUACCAGGAUAUCAAAGGUUGAUUAUCCGGUAAGUCAGUUAUAAACUAUGUAUAAGCCGCAUGCUCAUCAGGACACCUAGUAAGUACUCUUGAUCAAACGUUGUAUGGAUUCAAUUUCUCUUUAAUGUUCGCAGCUCCUCGUGUGAAACUUAUAUAUAUAUGUAAUAUAUCUCGAUGUAAUGUAUAUAUGCUUAAAAGAAAAGAACUAUGUAUAUGGACAGCUGCUCUUUGUAUUUGUUCUUCCCUCAAACUCUUUGUAUCAAGUGGAA